rnacentral:rRNA from 1 species
UACAGAGGGUGCGAGCGUUAAUCGGAAUUACUGGGCGUAAAGCGCACGUAGGUGGUUUGGUAAGUUAAAUGUGAAAGCCCUGGGCUUAACCUGGGAACUGCAUUUAAUACUGCCAGGCUAGAGUAAAGUAGAGGGAAGUGGAAUUUCCGGUGUAGCGGUGAAAUGCGUAGAUAUCGGAAGGAACACCAGUGGCGAAGGCGGCUUCCUGGACUUAUACUGACACUGAGGUGCGAAAGCGUGGGGAGCAAACAGG